CACGAAAUAAUACGAGUUAAUUCAUAAUAGUAUAUAGACUUACAGUAUGUGGCAUAAUAUAAUAUAAUUAUGAAUUAGGGGUGAUAGGCUUACCAAGUUUUAAGAUAUCUUGAUAUCUUCUAAAAACAACAGUGUUUAAGACAACUAAAUAGUGAUAAGGCUAUUUAGAAGCACAAAUAUAUAAUUUACUUUUGUACAUAAUUUAACGAUUAGUUACAUUAAAUAUUAUUAUUAAUCUAUUUAAAUUUGUGUAUUAGUUGAAGAUAUUUCAUAAUUAUGAUAAAAAUUUAUAAUGUAAUUAUUAGUCAUUAUAAAAGAUAUUAUUAAUGAACUCGGCAAUAUAUCUUUCAACUGUUUAUCAAAAACAUUGUCAUGUGUAAUUACACAUGAUAUUUUCUGCUCAAUGAAUUUUAAAUAGCCGCAGUACCCUGACUGUGCAAAGGUAGCGUAAUAAAUUGACUUAUAAUUGAAGUCCUGUAUGAACGAAAUUUUGAAGGAUAACUGUGUCAAUAGUAUAAAUUAAACUUAAUAAAUAAGUACAAAUACUUAUAUCAAAAUGAUAGACGAGAAGACCCUAGAAAUUUUAAUAAAUUGUUAGUUAAUAUUUUUGUUGGGGCAACAAGGUAACAAAUAAUUUACCAUUAAUUACAAGAAAUAAUUUAGUUAGAAUAAAUUACUCUAGGGAUAACAGCGUAAUUAAUAAUAGUUUGCGACCUCGAUGUUGGACUAGGGAACUAUUGCUUAGAA
rnacentral:rRNA from 1 species